UCUCUCCUGCCAUCUAAGAGGCCACCCACAUACCUUGGCUCCUGGCUCCUUUUCUCCAGCUUCAAAGCCAGCACUGGCAGGCUCCUGAC